ACCACAAAAACACCCUCGUGUAGUCACUGUACCGUGUCUGUAACAAUUAGGGCUCCGAAUAAAAACCACCCGCGCCGAGGUCCCAUAUCUCAAUUACACCCCGUCGUCUCUUCCCUCCGCCGUGCUCCUCCAUAUCCUCUCUCUCUCUCACACUCUCUCUCUCUCUCUCUCUCUCUCUAUAUAUAUAUAUAUAUGUGUGUGUAUGUAUAUCUGCUUUGUAUCUGUCUCUUCCUACAUUUAGCCGUAGCCACCACAGCGUCGCCACCAAUAAUCGUCGCCAUUUGCUCCCUGCCCGCUGAAUCUUGGCCGUUGGAUCUCGUUCAGAGGGCCUGAUUACAGAGGGCGCACACAUCACACACACGAGCAAAUCGACACCACCUCAUUGGAAGAAGGUUAUGCGAAGGUGGUUAUGUGUUAUGUCUAUACCCCAUUAUGCAUUUUGGAAAUCCCUGGGCAACCACUUGAGGAUGACAAGUGUUUGAAUGACAAGCUGAAGGUGUUUGUGAUCUAGAUUUUUAUGGCUGAUCAGUCCUUAAUCACACUUCCUCCUGAUUCAUCACUUGAUUUGCAAGAUCAUUCUUUAGUUAUUGGGCAAGAAUUCGCUGAUGUUGAGACUUGCCGUAGAGCACUAAAGGAUAUUGCUAUAGCAUUGCAUUUUGAUCUUCGGAUUGUGAAAUCUGAUCGUAGUCGGUUUAUAGCAAAAUGUUCAAAGGAAGGUUGUCCCUGGCGUGUACAUGUUGCAAAAUGUCCGGGAGUUCCUACCUUUUCUAUUAGAACCCUACACGGAGAGCAUACUUGUGAAGGGGUUCGCAACCUUCACCAUCAACAAGCAUCAGUCGGAUGGGUUGCUAGGUCUGUUGAAGCAAGGGUUAGAGAUAAUCCUCAAUAUAAACCAAAGGAAAUUCUACAAGAUAUUCGUGAUCAGCAUGGAGUUGCUGUGUCUUACAUGCAAGCUUGGCGUGGGAAGGAGCGGAGCAUGGCCGCACUUCACGGGACUUUUGAAGAAGGGUAUCAGCUUCUUCCAGGAUAUUGUGAACAGAUAAGAAAACUUAACCCAGGAAGCAUAGCAUCAGUUUUCACAACUGGACAAGAUAAUUUCUUCCAGCGCCUCUUUGUUUCAUACCGUGCAUCAAUCUACGGUUUUAUAAAUGCUUGCAGACCACUUCUGGAACUUGACAAAGCACAUCUCAAAGGUAAAUAUUUGGGCGUGUUGCUUUGUGCUGCAGCUGUUGAUGCUGAUGAUGGGUUGUUUCCAUUGGCCAUUGGGAUUGUUGAUGUGGAGAGCGACGAGAAUUGGAUGUGGUUCAUGUCAGAGUUGCGGAAGCUUCUUGGAGUAAAUACUGACAAUAUGCCUAGACUUACCAUACUCUCUGAAAGGCAACCAGGCAUUGUGGAAGCUGUUGAGACUCAUUUCCCCAGUGCUUUUCAUGGUUUUUGCUUGCGUCAUGUGAGUGAGAAUUUUCGUGAUACAUUCAAGAACUCAAAGUUGGUGAAUAUCUUUUGGAAUGCUGUUUAUGCCCUUACGGCAGUUGAAUUUGAAAGCAAGAUCUCUGAGAUGGUAGAAGUAUCGCAAGAUGUCAUACCAUGGUUUCAGCUAUUUCCACCCCAACUAUGGGCUGUUGCCUAUUUUGAGGGGGUACGAUAUGGCCAUUUCACAUUGGGGGUCACAGAAAUAUUGUAUAACUGGGCCCUUGAGUGUCAUGAGCUCCCUGUUGUACAAAUGAUGGAACACAUUCGUCAUCAGAUGUCAUCUUGGUUCGCCGAGCGUCGUAAUUUGGGAAUGAGAUGGAGCUCCAUUCUUGUACCAUCGGCUGAGAAGAAGAUUUUAGAAGCAAUCGCAGAUGCUCAUUGUUAUCAAGUACUUCGUGCAAAUGAAGUUGAAUUUGAGAUUGUGUCAAGCGAGCGGACAAAUAUUGUGGACAUACGAACCAGAGUGUGUUCGUGUCGCCGUUGGCAACUCUAUGGUUUGCCUUGUGCACAUGCUGCUGCUGCACUCAUCUCUUGCGGGCAAAAUGCCCAUUUAUUUGCUGAGCAUUGUUUCACAGUCAAUAGCUACCGUGAAACCUAUUCACAUAUUAUCAAUCCAAUUCCAGAUAAAAGUCUAUGGAAUGAGCACAUUGAGGGAGCAGAUGGUGGAGGUCCCAAAUUUGAUAUUGCAAUACGGCCACCCAAGACACGUCGGCCUCCUGGCAGGCCGAAAAAGAAGGUCCUUCGUGUGGAGAGUUUAAAGCGUCCAAAAAGAGUCGUUCAAUGUGGUCGCUGCCAUAUGUUAGGACAUUCUCAAAAGAAGUGCACGAUGCAAACUUGAUCCUUAGUUAAUUGUCAAAAAUCGUUUCUUUUGCCUUUCUGCAAUUGCCGUAGGGGAAUUAUGUUUCUAUUUGAUGAGCAAGCAUAUCAGCAAAGAAUAUUGCCUCUAUAUGAGAGUACUAAUUCAUUGCAACACCAGCAGCCGAUAAACACGUGUACUUGAAUUGGGCUUCCGUAAGCCAAUUCUCUUCCCUCCUACUUUUGGUGUUAGUUUGGAGUUUUCAUUCUUCAGUUGCUGUCUAAGCCUGUUGACAUAUCCCCGCAGCUCCUUCGUCAUACUGUGGAUGAUCUUGUUCUUCCAAGAAAUAGCACUCAUACAGCUGGGCGGAAAAGGGUUCAUUUGGGACGGUUUUCGUUUGGCUACGCACGAUCUACUCAAUUGAAAACACAUGCUGCAAGUGAGUUUUGGGGUGGUGAGGUUAGGUCUCUAAAAGCAUCCACUUAUCACGUCCAAUCCAUAAUUAUUGAGAUUGAUUCCAUUAUAUAGUUCUUAUUGCUUUUUGAAGGACUCCACCACUAAAACUGGCUCUUACCUUGGCUUUUUUAGGACUGCAGCCAGUUAUAUAACAACUUUCGCAGUUUUUCAUCAAAUUUUGUUAUUAGGAAGCAAACAUUGGAGCGGAUAAGUUUGAGCUAUUUAGCUUAGACCCAAGAGCAGUGGGUUUUGUAUUAGUGUGCCUAGUUUUUUGGUCAAUAGUAUUAGAUUGUUAACCAUCAACUCAUCUAAAAGUUUAAGCAGUUAGAGAGAGGGGCAACUUUAUAACUUAUACCUUUAACAUGCUCCCUCAUGUGUAGCCUGGCUCUCCUCCAUAAGUGGGCUAAACACUUGUAAAUAUUUGAACAUUAGGUGGGCAGUGAGGUUCGAAAACAAGAUCUAUUGUCUACUUUGAUGCCGCAGGGCCCAUUUCACUUCACAUUUUAAAAAAUUCACAAUCCACACCCCAUGAUGACAGACUAGCAAAAAGGUUGGACGAUGAUAGACCAAAAAGAGGCUACACGUGACAGAUCUCAAAUGCGGCUGCACGUGAGAGGGGAUGUUAAGGAAAUAGAGUCCCACAUUGCUUGGGAGUGGAAUGGGUGAUCACAUAAUAAUAUUUGGGACCUCUCCACUCAUUGCCAAUUGGUUUUGAGAUGGAUAUAACGUUUCCACAGGUAGGCUGCUUUUUUAUCAGCUCGGCACAUCCACUCCCCCUUUUGUAUGACAUGUACAUCGUUGUAACCUUGUUCAGUCAUUGUAAAUUUGUAAUAUCUUAUUUCGGUGUAUGUUCAGGAGAAGGAAAAAAAACUGUUUCAGUUUCCAAGCAUUGACUGACAGAGCGUGACUGAUUACAGAGUUAUUCUACAAUUGACUCUUCUUGUUGAGCUUCUAACUUUCCACCUGGUCCAUCUUCUUAUAGCUGAUCCAAGCCAUCCUUACCCACAUUGCUGAAUUGGCAAAGGGUCAUUAAUGGAGCAUCUUUUGGUGAAAAAACCAAAAGAUCUUUGGUUAGCCUCUGAAGCUGUACACAACAACGUUGCUCCUCUCCCUUUGUCCUCUUUGCCCUAAGCUCUGGAAGCAUUGCUGGUAACUGAUAUUUCUUAGUUUUGUUCCUUCUGUCUUCUUCUACAUUUGCUUUGUAAUUGCCAAUUUAGGAAAAAAUUGUUUCUCUGUAGUGUAUUUGCAUUGUACUCGCUUAGAAUGUGGGCAAAUUGGCGGGUGGGUUUGUUCCAAUUUCAGCAAUCCUUGUUUAUGAACAGUGCCUUGAUGUAUUGGAGUUUAGAUUAGGAAGAAUUCCAUGUAAUAUACCAGUACAGUAGUGGCAGAAGCAUCUAGCACCCGGAGGACAAGGCCCACAUGGAGGGGGAGUGUUAUGAGUUGCAGAAUGAAGAAGUGGAAACGUCAUUGAAGCAGCUUUGGAAGAGUGUCUACUUGUUUGAUUAAUUUAUGUGGUGAUCCUAAUAAGUGGGAUGGUUUCCUUAAUUGAUCCACCUGCAGGAACGAUUGUAACUGUAAAUACAAAGUAGAGAGUAGAGGAGAGUCAGAGUAGUUGUCGAGUAUUCUUGCAACUCGAAAGACCUUUUAGCAGCUAUCAGUUCAAUGAAUAAAAUAAUUUCUUCUUCUUCUU